AGAGUUUGAUCCUGGACUCAGGAUGAACGCUAGCGGGAGGCCUAACACAUGCAAGCUGAGCGGUAUUGUCUUCGGGACAGAGAGAGCGGCGUACGGGUGCGUAACACGUGUGCAACCUGCCUUUAUCAGGAGGAUAGCCUUUCGAAAGGAAGAUUAAUACUCCAUAAUAUAUUAAUUGGCAUCAAUUGAUAUUGAAAACUCCGGUGGAUAAAGAUGGGCACGCGCAAGAUUAGAUAGUUGGUGAGGUAACGGCUCACCAAGUCGAUGAUCUUUAGGGGGCCUGAGAGGGUGAUCCCCCACACUGGUACUGAGACACGGACCAGACUCCUACGGGAGGCAGCAGUGAGGAAUAUUGGACAAUGGGUUAGCGCCUGAUCCAGCCAUCCCGCGUGAAGGAUUAAGGACCUAUGGUUUGUAAACUUCUUUUGUACAGGGAUAAACCUACCCUCGUGAGGGUAGCUGAAGGUACUGUACGAAUAAGCACCGGCUAACUCCGUG
rnacentral:rRNA from 1 species